UCCUCCAUAGCUCAGUUGGUUAGAGCACCUGACUGUUAAUCAGGGUGUCGCUGGUUCGAGUCCAGCUGGAGGAGCUA
rnacentral:tRNA from 1 species